GGACCCGCACAAGUAGUGGAGCAUGUGGUUUAAUUCGAAGAUACGCGCAGAACCUUACCAACACUUGACAUGUUCGUCGCGACUUUAAGAGAUUAAAGUUUUCGGUUCGGCCGGACGAAACACAGGUGCUGCAUGGCUGUCGUCAGCUCGUGUCGUGAGAUGUUGGUUAAGUCCCGCAACGAGCGCAACCCUCACUUUUAGUUGCCAUCAUUUAGUUGGGCACUCUGAAAGAACUGCCAGUGAUAAGCUGGAGGAAGGUGGGGAUGACGUCAAGUCCUCAUGGCCCUUACGUGUUGGGCUACACACGUGCUACAAUGGUAUCUACAACAGGAAGCAGCCACUACGCGAGUAGGA
rnacentral:rRNA from 1 species